UACAGAGGGUGCGAGCGUUAAUCGGAAUUACUGGGCGUAAAGCGCACGUAGGUGGCGACGUAAGUCGGGUGUGAAAUCCCACGGCUCAACCGUGGAAGUGCACUCGAAACUGCGCAGCUAGAGUCUCGGAGAGGAAGGCGGAAUGCUUGGUGUAGAGGUGAAAUUCGUAGAUAUCAAGCGGAACACCGGUGGCGAAGGCGGCCUUCUGGACGAUGACUGACGCUGAAGUGCGAAAGCGUGGGGAGCAAACAGG
rnacentral:rRNA from 1 species